rnacentral:tRNA from 1 species
GGCUUGUUGGUGGUAGGGGUAUGAUUCUCCGCUUAGGGUCGAGGGGUCCCGGGUUCAAAUCCCGGACGAGCCA